CCAGACUCCUACGGGAGGCAGCAGUGGGGAAUAUUGCGCAAUGGACGAAAGUCUGACGCAGCGACGCCGCGUGAGGGAUGAAGGUUUUCGGAUCGUAAACCUCUGUCAGGAGGGAAGAAAGCGCAUGGCGCCAAUCAGCCAUGCGUUGACGGUACCUGACUAAGAAGCCCCGGCUAACUACGUGCCAGCAGCCGCGGUAAUACGUAGGGGGCAAGCGUUAUCCGGAUUUACUGGGUGUAAAGGGAGCGUAGACGGCGAUGCAAGCCAGAUGUGAAAGCCCGGGGCUCAACCCCGGGACUGCAUUUGGGACUGUGUGGCUGGAGUGUCGGAGAGGCAGGCGGAAUUCCUAGUGUAGCGGUGAAAUGCGUAGAUAUUAGGAGGAACACCAGUGGCGAAGGCGGCCUGCUGGGCUUUAACCGACGCUGAGGCUCGAAAGCGUGGGUAGCAAACAGGAUUAGAUACCCCCGUACC
rnacentral:rRNA from 1 species